UUGAACGCUGGCGGCAUGCCUUACACAUGCAAGUCGAACGGUAGAGGGGCAACCCUUGAGAGUGGCGAACGGGUGAGUAAUGCAUCGGAACGUGCCCAGUCGUGGGGGAUAACGCAGCGAAAGCUGUGCUAAUACCGCAUGUGAUCUGUGGAUGAAAGCAGGGGACCGCAAGGCCUUGUGCGAUUGGAGCGGCCGAUGUCAGAUUAGCUAGUUGGUAGGGUAAAAGCCUACCAAGGCGACGAUCUGCAGCUG
rnacentral:rRNA from 1 species